GGGGUUGUGGCUCAGAAGUAGAGCGCUUGCCUAGCAUGCAAGAGGCACUGGGUUCAAUCCUUAGCACCA
rnacentral:tRNA from 1 species